GAGCAAUCUGUGUGACUGCGUACCUUUUGUAUAAUGGGUCAGCGACUUAUAUUCUGUAGCAAGGUUAACCGAAUAGGGGAGCCGAAGGGAAACCGAGUCUUAACUGGGCGUUAAGUUGCAGGGUAUAGACCCGAAACCCGGUGAUCUAGCCAUGGGCAGGUUGAAGGUUGGGUAACACUAACUGGAGGACCGAACCGACUAAUGUUGAAAAAUUAGCGGAUGACUUGUGGCUGGGGGUGAAAGGCCAAUCAAACCGGGAGAUAGCUGGUUCUCCCCGAAAGCUAUUUAGGUAGCGCCUCGUGAAUUCAUCUCCGGGGGUAGAGCACUGUUUCGGCAAGGGGGUCAUCCCGACUUACCAACCCGAUGCAAACUGCGAAUACCGGAGAAUGUUAUCACGGGAGACACACGGCGGGUGCUAACGUCCGUCGUGAAGAGGGAAACAACCCAGACCGCCAGCUAAGGUCCCAAAGUCAUGGUUAAGUGGGAAACGAUGUGGGAAGGCCCAGACAGCCAGGAUGUUGGCUUAGAAGCAGCCAUCAUUUAAAGAAAGCGUAAUAGCUCACUGGUCGAGUCGGCCUGCGCGGAAGAUGUAACGGGGCUAAACCAUGCACCGAAGCUGCGGCAGCGACGCUGAUGCGUUGUUGGGUAGGGGAGCGUUCUGUAAGCCUGUGAAGGUGUGCUGUGAGGCAUGCUGGAGGUAUCAGAAGUGCGAAUGCUGACAUAAGUAACGAUAAAGCGGGUGAAAAGCCCGCUCGCCGGAAGACCAAGGGUUCCUGUCCAACGUUAAUCGGGGCAGGGUGAGUCGACCCCUAAGGCGAGGCCGAAAGGCGUAGUCGAUGGGAAACAGGUUAAUAUUCCUGUACUUGGUGUUACUGCGAAGGGGGGACGGAGAAGGCUAUGUUGGCCGGGCGACGGUUGUCCCGGUUUAAGCGUGUAGGCUGGUUUUCCAGGCAAAUCCGGAAAAUCAAGGCUGAGGCGUGAUGACGAGGCACUACGGUGCUGAAGCAACAAAUGCCCUGCUUCCAGGAAAAGCCUCUAAGCAUCAGGUAACAUCAAAUCGUACCCCAAACCGACACAGGUGGUCAGGUAGAGAAUACCAAGGCGCUUGAGAGAACUCGGGUGAAGGAACUAGGCAAAAUGGUGCCGUAACUUCGG
rnacentral:rRNA from 1 species